GGGGCUGUAGCUCAGUUGGCUAGAGCACCUGCUUUGCAAGCAGGGGGUCGUGGGUUCGAGUCCCAUCAGCUCCACCA
rnacentral:tRNA from 3 species